UACGUAGGGGGCUAGCGUUGUCCGGAAUCAUUGGGCGUAAAGAGCGUGUAGGCGGCCCGGUAAGUCCGCUGUGAAAGUCGGGGGCUCAACCCUCGAAUGCCGGUGGAUACUGUCGGGCUAGAGUGCGGAAGAGGCGAGUGGAAUUCCUGGUGUAGCGGUGAAAUGCGCAGAUAUCAGGAGGAACACCGGUGGCGAAGGCGGCCAACUGGACGAAUACUGACGCUGAGACUCGAAAGCGUGGGGAGCAAACAGG
rnacentral:rRNA from 1 species